CUUUUAAAAAUGCACUUUUUAAUACUGUCUAAUUAAGCUUAACUUAAAGAAAGUACACUUUCAACAUAAACACACUUAAGUGCACUUUUAAAAAUGCACUUUUUAAUACUGUCUAAUUAAGCUUAACUUAUAGUAAGUACACUUUCAUCACAAUAUUUCUUAACAUACUUAAGUACACUUUUUAAAAAUGUACUUUGUCUAAUUUAGUUUUACUUAAAUGUAACCCUGGUUAAAUAAUUAAAUAUUAUUAUUUUAAAAGUGUGCUUAAAUAUAAUAGAGACUAUUCAUACAUCUACAUUUAUUUUAUAAAUGAGGAAAUACAUGUGAAUAAUUCAAUCUGAAUUAUAAAUCUGAAAUGAGUAAACCAAUCGGAGUGUUUAAUUGUAAGCUCCGCCCCUUUUUUGCUUUCGGAUCGCGUCUCAGUUCAGAGGAGAGAUGCAGAGCGACAGAGACACGCGAGAGUGUUUAAUUUGAUUAAAUAUGACUCCUAAGUUCAUAUAAACUGAAGAAAUCAGAAUUUAACUUGCAUAUAUUCAAUGAUACAGCGUGGUUGUGUGGAUUGAGCACUUUUUGAGCUUUCAUUUUGACCUGGGGUUGGAUUGUUCAUUGCAGUGUGAUUAUGUAAAACCACAUGGUGUGUUGUGUUCGCUGACGCCAUUUUGGUUGCACGUGCCUGUGAAAGACAAAAAGAGAGAGAAACACGUGAAUGGACAGGUAUUUGUCUAAAUUGUCAUUUAUUAUGACAACUGUAUGUAUUUUAUUUGUUUCCUGUAUUAUGUACAAUUGUUAAUCAUCAUUGAUACACAAUAUUGAAUGUUUUUUCCUUUCGUAUGAACAUUCCUUGAGCUGGAUUUUCCUAAUUGAUGGCGAGCCUCCCAUUUCGACCUGAUUGGAUCACGAAUCUAGAGGAAAGGACAAUUUUCUAUUUUAAAUAUUUUUCUUCAGACAAGUAAGAGGAUACAUUUCAGAAACUGUUUCCUUAUUUUGUUUGUUUACUUUAUUGAACUGAAACAUUUCAGAAGCACAAUUCUGAUAAUUUAAGACUGAUCAAUACUCCAAUUUAUAAGAACUUUGAACUUGAAUACUGAUUUCAGUGUGUUACAUAUAUAAUUUGUACCAUCCUUGUACAUUGAUUGUGACUGUGAUUUCUGUAAAUGAGAAGUAAUUUAGAGGGUGCACCCAUAGUAUAUAUAGUUAAUUGUAUUUUCAUUGUUGUUUACCAUUUUUUGUGAUUAAGGAAAGAUAAAGAAAAAGAGGUUUCUCAAUACUCAAAGUAAAAUAAUUUAUUAAUCAACUUA